CCUACGGGAGGCUGCAGUGGGGAAUAUUGGACAAUGGGGGCAACCCUGAUCCAGCCAUGCCGCGUGUGUGAAGAAGGCCCUCGGGUUGUAAAGCACUUUCAGUGAGGAAGAACGCCUGGUGGUUAAUACCCAUCAGGAAAGACAUCACUCACAGAAGAAGCACCGGCUAACUCCGUGCCAGCAGCCGCGGUAAUACGGAGGGUGCGAGCGUUAAUCGGAAUUACGGGGCGUAAAGCGCGCGUAGGUGGCUUGAUAAGCCGGUUGUGAAAGCCCCGGGCUCAACCUGGGAACGGCAUCCGGAACUGUCAAGCUAGAGUGCAGGAGAGGAAGGUAGAAUUCCCGGUGUAGCGGUGAAAUGCGUAGAGAUCGGGAGGAAUACCAGUGGGGAAGGCGGCCUUCUGGACUGACACUGACACUGAGGUGCGAAAGCGUGGGUAGCAAACAGGAUUAGAUACCCCGGUAGUC
rnacentral:rRNA from 1 species